GGGUGCGUGCGCAGUUGCGUCUCCACUCCUACUCCCCUCAGCUGUGGCGCGCAGGGCGGCCCAAGAUGGCGGCGCGCUGGAGCAGCGAGAAUGUGGUGGUGGAGUUCCGGGACUCGCAGGCAACUGCUAUGUCAGUGGAUUGUCUUGGACAGCAUGCGGUGCUCUCUGGCCGUCGUUUCCUCUACAUAGUUAACCUGGAUGUGCCGACGGAAGGUCACCGCAAGAUCUCCCGUCAGAGCAAAUGGGACAUUGGGGCCGUGCAGUGGAAUCCACAUGACAGCUAUGCACACUACUUUGCAGCUUCGAGCAACCAGCGAGUUGACCUGUAUAAAUGGAAAGAUGGUAACGGGGAAGUUGGCACGUCACUGCAAGGGCACACGCGUGUGAUCAGUGAUUUAGACUGGGCCGUGUUCGAGCCAGAUCUGCUGGUCACCAGUUCUGUUGACACGUAUAUCUACGUUUGGGAUAUCAAGGACACCAGGAAACCUACAGUCUCACUCUCUGCAGUUGCUGGAGCCUCCCAGGUCAAAUGGAACAAGAAAAACGCCAACUGUUUAGCAACCAGCCAUGAUGGGGAUGUCCGUAUCUGGGACAAGCGGAAACCCAGCACUGCAGUGGAGUACUUGGCAGCGCAUCUCUCUAAAAUCCAUGGCCUGGAUUGGCAUCCGGACAACGAGUACAUCCUGGCCACUUCCAGCCAGGACAACUCUGUCAGGUUCUGGGAUUAUCGUCAGCCUCGGAAGUAUCUCAAUAUACUCCCCUGCCAGGUUCCAGUCUGGAAGGCGAGAUACACGCCUUUCAGCAAUGGGUUGGUGACCGUAAUGGUUCCCCAGCUGCGGCGAGAGAACAGCCUUCUCCUUUGGAACACCUUUGACCUGAACACGCCGGUUCACACCUUCGUGGGACACGACGAUGUGGUGCUGGAGUUCCAGUGGAGAAAGCAGAAAGAAGGCUCCAAGGACUACCAGCUGGUCACGUGGUCUCGUGACCAGACGCUGCGGAUGUGGCGGGUUGACUCCCAGCUGCAGAGGCUGUGCGCUAAUGAUAUCUUGGACGGGGUUGACGAACUCAUUGAUGGGAUUGCCCUCCUGCCUGAGCCGGAUAAGACCCUCCACACCCAGGACUCUGAACCCCAGCAUAGCUCCGGGCAUGCAGACGAGGACGCUUUAAAGGAAGACUUCCAGAACGACCUCCUGGUGGGAAGAAAAUCAGACCAGCUGGGGUUGCCGCAGACCCUGCAGCAGGAGUUUUCCCUGAUCAACGUGCAGAUCCGAAACGUCAAUGUGGAGAUGGACGCUGUGAAUCGUAGCUGCACAGUGUCUGUGCACUGUGGCAACCAGAGAGUCAAGAUGCGGGUGAUGUUCCCUGUGCAGUAUCCCAAUAAUGCUGCACCCUCCUUCCAGUUUGCCCCCACUACCACUAUCAGCUCCACAAUGAAGGCAAAGCUGCUGAAGAUUUUGAACGACACUUCCCUGCAGAAGGUGAAGCGGAACCAGAGCUGCCUGGAGCCUUGCCUGCGUCAGCUGGUCUCCUACCUGGAGUCCGUUGUGAACCAGGAGGACAGCACCUCCAGCAACCCCUAUGCUCUGACAAACACCGUAACACCACCGUUGCCCACCUUCGCCCGAGUAUCUAAUGCCUACGGCUCCUACCAGGAUUCCAACAUCCCAUUUCCACGGACCUCUGGAGCCAGGUUCUGUGGUGCAGGUUACCUGGUAUAUUUCACAAGACCCAUGACAAUGCACCGUGCAGUCUCUCCUACAGAACCUACUCCCAGAUCUCUGUCGGCUUUAUCGGCCUAUCACAGCGGCCUGAUCACACCAAUGAAGAUCCGUACGGAGACCCCAGGAAAUCUGCGCUUGUACAGUGGGAGUCCCACCCGCAGUGAGAAGGAGCAGGUCUCCAUCAGCUCCUUCUACUACAAGGAGAGGAUGUCUCUUCGCUUUGCCCGGAGGCGCUGGUCCAUACAAGCAAUUAACGACUUCCCGAAAUCAAGGAGAUGGAAAAGCAAGCGUGAGGGGACAGAUGCCAACAACCGACCUAUUAAAGCUGCUGGCAAAGUCAUCAUACAGGAUAUCUCCUGCCUGCUUCCUGUGCACAAAUCGCUAGGGGAACAGUACAUUCUGAACGUCAGUAACAUUCAGGAGACCUGCCAGAAGAAUGCCUCCUCAGCCCUGACAGUUGGACGUAGGGAUCUCGUCCAGGUGUGGUCACUGGCUACGGUAGCCACGGAUCUCUGUCUUGGACCGAAGUCUGACCCAGAUUUGGAGACACCCUGGGCCCAACAUCCAUUUGGACGUCAGCUCCUGGAGUCCCUGCUGGCUCACUACUGUCAGCUCCAUGAUGUUCAGACCCUGGCCAUGCUCUGCAGUGUGUUUGAGGCGCAGUCCAGGCUGCAGGGGUGCGUGAGUUCCUCGGGACCCUUCCCUCAGCGCUCCUCCAACGUGUUCUCCCACAGCCGAUACCCCAGCUUUACGUCUUCAGGCUCCUGUUCCAGCAUGUCAGACCCUGGACUCAACGCUGGAGGCUGGAACAUAGCAAGCAAAGAGACAGAGCACACAUUCACCCCCUGGUGCGAGUCUUCGCCUGACGACCUCCGCUACGGAAACCUGACGUAUGCCGACCACCGGGAGCGCGAGAGAGAUCAACAUGACAAGAACAAAAGGCUCCUGGACCCUGCCAACACUCAGCAGUUUGAUGACUUCAAGAAAUGCUACGGGGAAAUCCUUUAUCGCUGGGGUCUGCGAGAGAAACGAGCUGAGGUUCUGAAGUUCGUUUCCUGUCCUCCCGACCCGCACAAGGGAAUCGGCUUUGAUGAGUAGCAGCACCGGGAUUUGCCUGAAGGAUAAUUGGUGAUGUCCAAGCAGGCUCAGCGGAGCGAUGUGCAGGGUGGCAGUGUCUACGGCUGUGAGCUGUGUGCGAGAGCCUUCUCCUCCCACACCGUCCUGCUCUACCACUAUCAAACCCUUCACCAGCUGCAGACGUGGGACCCCAGCACAUGGGGUAGCACCGCUGCCAGCCCAGCCUCGCCUGCUGGCCCUGAGACAGUGCCGGGCCCUGAGAUCCCAGACACCGAGCCAGCUGAUCCGGGCAUGGACGUUCAUUUCAUCCUGACCACGGAGACUGUCAAGGGGAGAGCGUUUGAUUAUGGCCGGAUGGUCUUAAAGUGCCUGCACUGUACCCAGAAAUAUUACUCCAAGGAGGGGCUUGUUGGCCACGUGCAUGCCAUGCAUCCUGGGACUGAAGGCCUGCUGCUGCCCAGGUGGCGUUACAGGGGUUGGCGAGAGUCCUGAGUGUGGCUGAAUACGAGGUGUAUGUGAAAUCUGUGGGGCACAGAAGUGGCUCCCAGAAGAACAAAUCUGGGAGGCCUCUGGAAAGACCCCAUGGGAAGAAGUUUGUUUGCCCAGUUUGCAAGAAGGGCUUUACUAGAAAGCACAUACUCCAGCUUCACACCAGCACCCACCAAGCUGGCUGCAGCCCCUUCUGUGGCAGGCAGUGGGCAACCUCCCCCUGCUGACACCACCAGUAUCAGCAGUGCAGCUUCCAGUCGGUGGUCAGCGUGGUGGCAUGGCUGCACCGGCAGGAGCACCGCCAGGGGACGGUGACCUGCGGGGUCUGCCACUGUGCCUACCUGGACCGGUUCACACUCAACAAACACAUGAGGGUGCAUGAUGCGGAGCGGCCCUACGGCUGCAGCUUCUCACACUGUGGCUGGAGGUUUAAGAGUGAGACGCUGCUGAGAGCGCAUCUGUAAGCCCACGUCACUCCAAGGCAGUUUGAAUGCCCCUCCUGUGGCUACGCCUUCCGCCACAAGCAUCACUUGCAGUGCCACCAAGCCAGAAUGCAUGUCAUUCCCUCCAGCAGGGCGAAGAAACCAGAUGUCUGCCCAGUGGCACAGCUCAGGCGCACACAGCAGGGAGAUUCAGGAACAGAGCCCAACGCACGCCCUCUCAAGAGAGCAGGAUGCGAGCCUCCGAAAUACAAGAUCCUCCUGCAACGUUAGCUGCAGCGUUGGCUUCGGAGGACAGUUCCCCCUGGCCUGGGCGCGAGGCACCAAGUACCUGUUGCUCACUGGGGCUGAGUGCAGAAGCAGGGUUGACAAAUGGACUCUUUCCGGGUAAGCUGGCCCACGCUAUGUGGGGUCUGCACUGAAGGGAAGCUGACUCAUUGGAAUUACUGUCCCGUUAAAAGGCAUAUGGGACUGUGGCCAGCAGCAUCCAGUAAUGCUAAUAAACCUCGUUAGUUUCUGUUGGAGAUGACUGUUGCAUUCCUUCUGAAGGGCACAGAGUGGCCCAGGGGGUUAAUACGUGAGCUGCAGACUCUGAUCCUGGUGUAUCUUGGACCACAAGUGCAGCUUAGACAUAAGGAUCCAUGAACAUCCAUCAUCUGCAAUUCCUACAACUUCAGAGUGAUCGGCUGGUCCCACCCGCAGUGCUGCAAUUAAACAUACGUCAGAUGGUAAAUUACCUGGAUAAUAAAAAGACUUUCUUCAUCAUCCAAUAAAACCAGGGAUGAGUUUGUAAUGCGAAUCAACCAAUUCCAGCUAGACUCACAGAUGAAAAGAUUGCUCGGUUCAUUUAAACAACUAAUUCUCCCUUUUGUCUUGUUCAGAGCAAACAUUUCAUGGACAUGGUUCUCAUUAUAACCAGACUACACUCCACCCAGCAGAGCAGACAUUGCUGGGAGGUUGCUGGUACAAUAUAUGAGAAGGAAAUUAAACAAUGUGCAAAAAACAUUGACAGAAAAUUCAUUAAUUUGAGUCUUGAUGAGUGGAGCAAUGUACCCAGUGAUCCAGUAAUAUGUGCUGGUGUGACAACAGAAGAUGGGGUUGUAUCUUACAAAAACAAUUGAUAUAUCAGGAAAUGCCCAUAUAGCAGAAUACUUAAAAGAAGUAGCAAUAAAAACUCUAAUAGGGUAUGAACAAAAAUUAAAGUGUCAGCUGUGUAACUUUGUCACAGUACUGCAAAUGGAGCAAAGAUGAGAAGAAAUCUAGAAGAAGAUAAUGAAGGGCAUCUGAAACUUAUAACAUGGGCACUGGGCUCAUUUGACAUACGUUUUAGCCCAAGACUUAAGUACAACUCCAAGAAUAAAGGAAAAUGUUGUUGAAAUUGCAAAAUCCAUCUAACAACCACUUUGCUUCAGUUUCCCUGAAGAGAGCCGGAGGGUCCAAACCAAUUCUCCCCCACGAUGAAUGAUGGCAUCUUCGGAGCUGUUUAUUAAGAAUUGGCCUAUGCUGAUGACAAUUUUUGAAGAAAUAAUCGCAGCCAAAAUAGACAACAUCGGACUAAAGAGAAAUGUAGACGACAUGCUAAAUAUCCUGAGCCCUAGUUCCAUAGCCUCGGACAAACUGCAGACGGACCACUGCUGCUUGGCUUAUGCCCUUGAAAUUCGGAAGGUGCUUCAAGAGAACUUGAAGAAAGAAAGACCCACCAACAAAGUCAAAUUGCAGGCAGUAAAGAAGCAGAUGGAUCAAGCACUUUCUCCACCUCAUUUUCUUGCCAAUAUUCUAGAUGCCUAACUGCUGAAGAAGAUGCUGCUAUGAAAUGGACAUCUAAUAAUCACCUGUCAAUCAGGCCAUCAGUAAAUUUCAGGGUGGGGAAGGAUCAGUCAAGUAGUACAUGUUUGCUGAUAAGAACAUAGGCAGGGCCAUACUGAAUCAGACCAAUGGUCCAUCUAGCCCAGUAUCCUGUCUUGUGACAGUGGCUGGUGCCAGAUGCUUCAGAGGGAAUGUACAGAACAGGGCAAUUAUUGAGUGAGCCAUCUGCUGUCAUCCACUCCCAGCUUCUGGCAGGCUGGUGAUGCUCUAAAGAAAGUUAGUGGUGGAAGCACUAGCUGGAGCCAGAGCUUGUUGAAGGGCUAAACCAUCUUUUGACAGCAAUAGCUUCUUCUGCAGGCACAGAAAGAAUAUUUUCUUCAUUUGAAUUAAUUCAGUUAAAGCUAAGAAAUUGGUUGGCAGUUGAAAAAGUUGGGGAUCUCGUCUUUCUCUUCCAGUCAUGGAAUAAAAACAAAGAGGGAAGGGAUGAGAUCUACUAGUUUUAAAAGUUUGAAGGACAGCCUGAGUAAUUUAGGAGACUAUUGUCUCAUUUUCAAGAGAUUUAGGCAUGGUGGGAACUUAAGCUCCAGUCACUUUCACUUAGGCAUAUUUAAAAAUGUUCCCAGGCUGACCUGAAAUAAUCAGUUUAAAUCUCUGACUACAGUUAAAUGCUCUGUUUAAUAAAUCAUUUAGUUGUAAAUGUGAAACGUGUUUUGGUCAGAGAAGUUUACGUAUCCCAAACAUUUUAGGUUGUUUUGUUUAAUAAAAACAUAUUGUA